rnacentral:rRNA from 1 species
GCAACAGCUCAAAUUUGAAAUCUGGCGCAAGCCCGAGUUGUAAUUUGCAGAGGAUGUUUCGGGUGAAGCCACGGUCCAAGUCCCUUGGAACAGGACGUCAUAGAGGGUGAGAACCCCGUACCUGGCCGUCGGUGCCCCCCGCUGUGAAACUCCUUCGACGAGUCGAGUUGUUUGGGAAUGCAGCUCUAAAUUGGUGGUAAAUUCCAUCUAAAGCUAAAUACCGGCCAGAGACCGAUAGCGCACAAGUAGAGUGAUCGAAAGAUGAAAAGCACUUUGAAAAGAGAGUUAAAAAGUACGUGAAAUUGUUGAAAGGGAAGCGCUUGCGGCCAGACUUGCCCGCGGUUGCUCAGCCCGCCUUUUGGCGGGUGCACUCUUCCGCGGUCAGGCCAGCAUCGGUUUGGGCGGCCGGACAAAGGCGUCGGGAACGUGGCCUCCCCUCGGGGAGGUGUUAUAGCCCGGCGCGCAAUGCGACCAGCCCGGACCGAGGUUCGCGCUUUGCUAGGAUGCUGGCGUAAUGGCCGUAAGCGGCCCGUCUUGAAACACGGACCAAGGAGUCUAACAUCUAUGCGAGUGUUUGGGUGUCAAACCCGUGCGCGUAAUGAAAGUGAACGGAGGUGGGAACCGCAAGGUGCACCAUCGACCGAUCCUGAUGUCUUCGGAAGGAUUUGAGUAAGAGCAUAGCUGUUGGGACCCGAAAGAUGGUGAACUAUGCGUGAAUAGGGUGAAGCCAGAGGAAACUCUGGUGGAGGCUCGCAGCGGUUCUGACGUGCAAA